UCCUCCGCUCCUGUGCCUUCCAGGGGAGCUCGUUUCCAAGGGCCCCCACCCAAUUCGGGAGGCCUUUCUGGGCUUGGCUUCCUGGCAGGGAAUGCUCAGACGCACUGGUGGUGCAGAGGUUGGUGAAGUACCUUGGCUCAUAAAUUUUCAUCUUGGGGAUACAUUAGGGAUUUUCCCCCCCAAGGAAUCCUCCAAGGAGAAGGUGGGUGUCUUCUAGUGACUUCCCACCAGACCCAUGAUAAGAUCCAAACUUCUUAGUGUGGUAUCCAGGACUCUGCAGAAUCUUGCCUCAGCCUCACUUGCCAAUCCCCUCUUCUGCUAUCUCUCCCUAGACCCGCUGGGCUCUAGCUAUACAGAACUACUGUUAUUCCCCUGAAGAUGUUAUGCAUUUCCAUGCCUCUGUGACCACUUUGUGUAUGCUAUUUCCUCUUCCUGGAGUGCCCCCCCUUCUCUUCUUAAAGAACUCCUAUUCAUCCUUCAAGACCCUAUUCAAAAGUCAGAUGCCUCGAAAUCUUGCUUGACUUCCCAGACAGGAUUGGAUGCCCUGUGCUCCAAGGCAUAGGGUUCCUUCCCUGGCUCAUCACCCAGUAAGUAAUUGUUAGGAUUUGCAUGUUUAUCUUCCUCUUAUUGCGCCUCUGGGGCAGGGACUGUCAUUCACCUUUGUAAAUCGGGGGUGGGGGGGCCUAAUAAUUCCUCCGGCAAUAUUUGUGCAAGAAUGAACACCAUUUCUGCCGGGUCUGUGGUAUUUUUGAGUGGCAUGAAGAGGACGACACUCUGUCACCAUGGGCCUCCCCUGGCCCACAGUGCCAUCUCUCCAGACGAGGGCCAUGUGGGUGAGUCUAUGUAUUCACACAGCAUCUGUACAGCAAUCCUCAGGUAGUUUUACAUCAGAUUUAUUUGAUACAGGAACUCUCCGGGUGGUUAUUAUAGUUACCAUCAAAACAUGAAGAGAUUGAGAUGCCAGGAGAUUGAGUAAUAUUGUGUUCAAGGUUUCAGUCCAUACAGAGUAAAGCUGGGACUUGAACCCAGGUCUUUUGGCUGCAAGAGCCACAAGAUCUCUGCCUACACCAGAGAUUCUCAAUAAGUGGUCUUUGAAUUAGCAGAUUAGCAUCACCUUGGAUCUUGUUGGAAAUGCAGAUUAUUGGUCCCUGCCCCAGACUACUGAAUCAGAAACUCCUAGGACAGACCUGCAGUCUGUUUCAAGAGCCCUGCCCUUGAUUCUGUUGCAUGGUUCAUUCCAAGUUCAAGAACCCGGGGUCUACAUCUUGAUUGUACCCGCGGCCCAGAGCCAGAGCCAGAGCCAGAGCCAGAGCCAGAGCCAGAGCCAGAGGAGGGCGCUCCAAGGCAAACUUUCACCCCUAAGCAGUCAUGGCAGCUGGGAUGGGACAGGUAGAAGGGAAGAAAAGGAACAGAGUGAGUAAGGAGACAGAGUUCUAGUCCCACCAGUUCUACAGUCAUUGGCUGAAUGAUUCUGAGAACUUUUCUGGGUCUCAGUUUUCUCAUCUGUGAAAUGAAUUUCCCUUUAUGUUCUGUUAUUCAGCUCUCCUUCUUUGGAAUUCCAUGUUGUCUAUGCUAGGAAUGGAAUGAAGACAGAGUAUGAGGAAACGAAGACUGAGUGAAGUAACAUUCUCCCAACCUACGUAUAUAGCACAUGGAAUUUGGCCUUAACCCACAGAGCCACACUGGUUGCCUUUGACCCCGGCGUGCAUCUUAACAUCUGUUUCGAGCAGAGGAAAUAGGAGAGUAAUAGAAUUGACGCGGAGUGAACCAAUUCUACCCAUGACAGACAUGCUUCAGGGUCCGUGGUUACAAAUGGCAGAGUCUGGCCUCCAGCACAUGCGCAGUUCUUCUUCUGCUGCAACCCCACACCAGGGAAUGCCUCUCCUUGACGCUGACCCAAAUCUUCCCCUCUUUCAGUGGUGAGUUUCAGCCCAUUACCUCUAAACCUCCACACCCUCCCCACCCACAUUUCCCACCAACCAAACCACACAUUUAAUUGGUUGACUUCCCCAGAGACUGUUUCUGUCAGCCUUUUGAUAAUGUUUGUGGCUCAUCUUGGGGGCAGGUGAAGUAUGUGGGUGGCAAGGGUGUUGUUCCCUGGUUUUCCCUCUAUCUUUCAAGAAGGCAGUUGAACUUUCUACUCUUUGUUUUUCCUUUCAGCGUCUCUGGUAAGUGUCCUGCAGCCUUCUGGAAUGUAAGUGAGCACCUCCUCUCUUGGCUUAUAGCUUCAAGACUUCCUCAUUCUUCCAGAUUGGCCACUUUCUCCUCUCCCCACCCUACUCGGGGAGGUGCUGCUCACCAUGUGAAGUUGCGUGGACAUGCUUGGAGCUCAUGGUCUAAGAUAAGGGUCUUAGCUCAGCAUCCACAUACCCUAGCCCAGUCCUUUUCCAUCUUGAGUGUACAUUAGAAUCUCUUAAGGAGCUUAAGAAAACCCAAUGUCUGGACUGCAUGCAGACCGAUUAAAUUAAAAAUUCAUGGUGGGAGGUAGGCAUCGUAAUUUAUGAAGCCCCUCCAGGUGAUUCCCAUGUGCAGCCACGGUUGGGGCUUCCCAACCUAGACUGAAAGUCCAGGGAAAAUAGUUUCUGGGUAAGUAUAUUUCCUGGAAAAGCUAAGCGAUAGCUUUUAUCAGAUGCUCAAAGGUGUCUAUGGCACCUUUCGCCUCACACCCCCGCGCCCCCGAAAAAGCUCAGGGACUGGUCAAAGAUAAUAUAUAAACAGGAAGAGUUUACCAAUAAUUAAGGAAAUACCAAAUGCAUGUGUUAACUAAAUAAAUAGGCAUUAAUAUGCAGAGGAGAGAAAGUGCUGCUUUGCAAGUGAAGAGGACCUUGGGAGUGUUCUGGGUGGAGCGAUGAGAGAGUCCCCACCUCUCCCAGCUGCCGAGGAAAACCAUGUGAUUUCAGGUCCUGCCACUCUAGGGGUCUGAUCACAUCCCUUAACUCCCCACCCCCACACAGCAAAGUCCUGACUCCCAACCACAACAUCCUGGUUCCUUCGUGACCUAGCUCCAGCAUCCUUUCUGGCUCCUCUCCAUCACUUAUCAUCAUCACUCAUCAUCCACACACUCAAGCCCCAGGAGGAUGCUUGCUGUCCAGUGUGUAGACACUGUGCCUUUGCUUCCAUUCUUUCCCAAGUUCCUCCCACUCUGCCUGUCUCGGGAUGGACCGUGGAGGGAAGAUUGAAGAAACAGGAUGGCUGGAGGCAUGUUCCCCGAGUGUGCUCAGGUCGUAUAUGGCAAAGCGAGUAGGGCAACCACCUGAGGAGCUCCUUAGAGGGAUGACAUGUGGAGAUUCAGAAGCUCUGGCCUUCAAGGGACUUACAUGCCAGUGCAGGGAAGCAGACCGGUAAGGAGCGCAGGGAAGCAUGAUAGGUGCUCGGAGAGGGAUAUGUGGAGGGACCUGUGGGGUGGGAGAGGGAGUGGACUUCAUCCAGAAAGGGACUAAUGACCCAGCAGGCCCCAGUGAAGAGAGAUGGGACUGAAUCAGGAGGCUGAAGCUAGAUUAUGGAGGCCAUUCAAUGCCAACCUGAGGACACCCACCACACAGAUUGAACCCAGCUGGUGCCCCCAGGUCUUGCUAGCUUUUAGUCUUGCUCCCUCAGGAAGUCUCUCGUGUAAUGCCAAGCUGUUGAGGCAAAGGAGCUAACUGUGGAGCCCUCUUAUCUGCCUGGGGGUGUCUGGCUUGGGAGGGUGCCGGCUUUUUGCAGGGAGCCCUGACCUUCUCCCGUAGAGCCUCCCUUCCCACCCAAACCAUGUUCCCAGGGCCCUGGAACAAGUGACUGAACCUGUAGAUAAGAAUAGUGACUGUAGGGCGCCUGGGUGGC